rnacentral:rRNA from 1 species
UACGGAGGGGGCAAGCGUUAUUCGGAAUUAUUGGGCGUAAAGGGCGCGUAGGCGGCUAGAUGUGUCAAAGGUGAAAUCCCUCGGCUCAACUGAGGAACUGCCUUUGAAACUGUCUGGCUUGAGGCCGGAAGAGGAGAGUGGAAUUCCCGGUGUAGCGGUGAAAUGCGCAGAUAUCGGGAAGAACACCCGUGGCGAAGGCGGCUCUCUGGGACGGUACUGACGCUGAGACGCGAAAGCGUGGGGAGCGAACAGG